rnacentral:rRNA from 1 species
GGAGGUAGUGACGAAAAAUAACAAUACAGGACUCAUUUUAGAGGCAUUGUAAUUGGAAUGAGUACACUUUAAAUCCUUUAACAAGGACCUAUUGGAGGGCAAGCCUAGUGCCAGCAGCCGCGGUAACUCUAGCUCCAAUAGCGUAUAUUAAAGUUGUUGCGGUUAAAACGUUCGUAGUUGAAUUUGUGCUUCAUACGGGUAGUAUCGAUUAUAAAUGUAGUCGAUUACUAUACCUUAUGUAUGUAAGCGUAUUACCGGUGGGAGUUCAAUAUUUGUUUAUUUGUGUUGGAAUGCGGUGCGACGUUCUUGCGUUGGCGAAUGUUUUGUCGUUUUGAUAUUGCAUCUCGUCAUUAAGCAUGGCGUUGUUAUCCAUCCAACCGGUUUACAGAUAUACUCCUAAUUUUCUUUUUUUUUAAAUAAAGAAAAAGAAAAACCCAUUACGGUGCUCUUUAUCGGGUGUUGUUGUGGGCCGGUACAAUUACUUUGAACAAAUUAGAGUGCUUCAAGCAGGCUAUAAAAUGCCUGAAUAUUUUGUGCAUGGAAUAAUGAAAUAAGACCUCUGUUCUACUUUCAUUGGUUUUUAGAUCGAAAGAGGUAAUGAUUAAUAGAAGCAGUUUGGGGGCAUUAGUAUUACGACGCGAGAGGUGAAAUUCUUGGACCGUCGUAAGACUAACUUAAGCGAAAGCAUUUGCCAAAGAUGUUUUCAUUAAUCAAGAACGAAAGUUAGAGGUUCGAAGGCGAUCAGAUACCGCCCUAGUUCUAACCAUAAACGAUGCCAGCUAGCAAUUGGGUGUAGCUAAGAUUAUGGCUCUCUCAGUCGCUUCCCGGGAAACCAAAGCUUUUGGGCUCCGGGGGAAGUAUGGUUGCAAAGCUGAAACUUAAAGGAAUUGACGGAAGGGCACCACCAGGAGUGGAGCCUGCGGCUUAAUUUGACUCAACACGGGAAAACUUACCAGGUCCGAACAUAAGCGUGUAAGACAGAUUGAUAGCUCUUUCUCGAAUCUAUGGGUGGUGGUGCAUGGCCGUUCUUAGUUCGUGGAGUGAUUUGUCUGGUUAAUUCCGAUAACGAACGAGACUCAAAUAUAUUAAAUAGAUGCUUACAGGAUUAUGGUGUUGAAACUUUUAUAGCCUUCAUUCAUGCUGUGAAUGGGUACAUUGUUGACGGUAUUUGUUAUGUAAAUGUAUGCGGCNUUCUAUGUUGUAUGCGUUUCAUUCGUUUACCUAAUACAGUGGCUCGUUUUACAUAUGUUUGAAUGUGUUUUAUAGAAGUGGAGCCGUACCUGUUGGUUUGUCCUAAAUAUUCUUUAUAGAGGGAUAC